GUUAGGAAUAUUGGACAAUGGGCGCAAGCCUGAUCCAGCCAUGCCGCGUGAGUGAUGAAGGCCUUCGGGUUGUAAAGCUCUUUAGUCCACGAAUAUAAUGACUGUAGUGGAAGAAUAAGCCCCGGCUAACUUCGUGCCAGCAGCCGCGGUAAUACGAAGGGGGCGAGCGUUAUUCGGAAUCACUGGGCGUAAAGCGUGCGUAGGCUGUUUUGUAAGUCAGAAGUGAAAGCCCAGGGCUUAACCCUGGAAUUGCUUUUGAAACUACAAGACUCGAAUUCGGGAGAGGAUAGCGGAAUUGUCAGUGUAGCAGUGAAAUGCGUAGAUAUUGACAGGAACACCAGUGGCGCAAGCGGCUAUCUGGACCGAUAUUGACGCUGAGGCACGAAAGCGUGGGGAGCAAACAGGAUUAGAUACCCCGGUAGUCC
rnacentral:rRNA from 1 species